CCUACGGGAGGCAGCAGUGGGGAAUUUUGGACAAUGGGCGAAAGCCUGAUCCAGCCAUACCGCGUGCGGGAAGAAGGCCUUCGGGUUGUAAACCGCUUUUGUCAGGGAAGAAAUACUUCGGGCUAAUACCCUGGGUGAUGACGGUACCUGAAGAAUAAGCACCGGCUAACUACGUGCCAGCAGCCGCGGUAAUACGUAGGGUGCAAGCGUUAAUCGGAAUUACUGGGCGUAAAGCGUGCGCAGGCGGUUCUAUAAGACAGAUGUGAAAUCCCCGGGCUCAACCUGGGAACUGCAUUUGUGACUGUAGAGCUAGAGUACGGUAGAGGGGGAUGGAAUUCCGCGUGUAGCAGUGAAAUGCGUAGAUAUGCGGAGGAACACCGAUGGCGAAGGCAAUCCCCUGGACCUGUACUGACGCUCGAUGCACGGAAGCGUGGGGAGCAAACAGGAUUAGAUACCCUGGUAGUCCACGCCCUAAACGAUGUCAACUGGUUGUUGGGAGGGUUUCUCUCAGUAACGAAGCUAACGCGUGAAGUUGACCGCCUGGGGAGUACGGCCGCAAGGUUGAAACUCAAAUUGAAUUGAGGCUGAGACGNGCGAGGACGACGACGAGGAGAGG
rnacentral:rRNA from 1 species